rnacentral:rRNA from 1 species
AUCGAUGAAGAACGCAGCGAAAUGCGAUAAGUAAUGUGAAUUGCAGAAUUCAGUGAAUCAUCGAAUCUUUGAACGCACCUUGCGCUCCUUGGUAUUCCGAGGAGCACGCCUGUUCGAGUGUCAUGAAGCUCUCAAACAAGUCCUUUCUUUGCAAAGAGAUAGGGUUGGUUUGGAUUUGAACUCUGCCGUGUAACAAACGGCUGGUUCUAAAAGCAUUAGCUGAUCCUAGUCAAAGCUCGGUUCUACUUGACGUGAUAAUUAUCUAACGUCGAGGACAUUCCUUCAUUGGAAUGGCCAAGCUCUAAUGUGGAUCGCUUCUAAUCGUCUUCACAGACAAACUAAUCAUCAAUCUGACCUCGAAUCAGGUGGGACUACCCGCUGAACUUAAGCAUAUCAAUAAGCGGAGGAAAAGAAACUAACAAGGAUUCCCCUAGUAACGGCGAGUGAAGCGGGAUGAGCUCAAAUUUAAAAUCUGGUGUCCUUUGGGCAUCCGAGUUGUAGUCUAGAGAAGCAUUUUCCGUGUCGGACCAUGUACAAGUCUCCUGGAACGGAGCGUCAUAGAGGGUGAGAAUCCCGUUCUUGACAUGGACCCCCGAUGCUAUGUGAUGUGCUCUCAAAGAGUCGAGUUGUUUGGGAUUGCAGCUCAAAAUGGGAGGUAAAUUCCUUCUAAAGCUAAAUAUUGGCGAGAGACCGAUAGCGAACAAGUACCGUGAGGGAAAGAUGAAAAGCACUUUGGAAAGAGAGUUAAACAGUACGUGAAAUUGUUAAAAGGGAAACGAUUGAAGUCAGUCGCGUCUGCUUGGACUCAGCCUUACUUCGGUUUGGUGCAUUUCCUUGUAGACGGGCCAGCGUCAAUGUUAUCCGCUGGAAAAAGGUGUAGGGAAUGUGGCUCUUUCGGGAGUGUUAUAGCCCUAUGUCAUAUGCAGUGGUCGAUAUUGAGUGUAACAGCACGCUUUUAGUGGUGCUUGUGCUGGCGUAAUGGCUUUAAACGACCCGUCUUGAAACACGG